GAUGAAGAACGUAGUGAAAUGCGAUACGUAAUGUGAAUUGCAGAAUUCAGUGAAUCAUCGAGUCUUUGAACGCACAUUGCGCCCCCUGGUAUUCCGGGGGGCAUGCCUGUCCGAGCGUCAUUGCUGCCCUCAAGCACGGCUUGUGUGUUGGGCCUCCGUCCUCCUCCCGGGGGACGGGCCCGAAAGGCAGCGGCGGCACCGCGUCCGGUCCUCGAGCGUAUGGGGCUUCGUCACCCGCUCUUGUAGGCCCGGCCGGCGCUUGCCGACACAUCAAUCUUUUUUCCAGGUUGACCUCGGAUCAGGUAGGGAUACCCGCUGAACUUAAGCAUAUCAAUAAAGCGGAGGA
rnacentral:misc_RNA from 1 species